rnacentral:misc_RNA from 1 species
AACACUGUUAACCUGCGGUACCUGCGGAAGGAUCAUUACCGAGUUUACAAACUCCCAACCCUUUGUGAACCUUACCAUAUUGUUGCUUCGGCGGGACCGCCCCGGCGCCUUCGGGCCCGGAACCAGGCGCCCGCCGGAGGCCCCAAACUCUUAUGUCUUUAGUGGUUUUCUCCUCUGAGUGACACAUAAACAAAUAAAUAAAAACUUUCAACAAUGGAUCU